rnacentral:rRNA from 1 species
UACGUAGGGUGCAAGCGUUAUCCGGAAUUAUUGGGCGUAAAGAGUUCGUAGGCGGUCUGUCGCGUCGAAUGUGAAAACCCGGGGCUCAACCCCGGGCCUGCAUUCGAUACGGGCAGACUAGAGUUCGGUAGGGGAGUCUGGAAUUCCUGGUGUAGCGGUGAAAUGCGCAGAUAUCAGGAGGAACACCGGUGGCGAAGGCGGGACUCUGGGCCGAUACUGACGCUGAGGAGCGAAAGCGUGGGGAGCAAACAGG